UUUCAUGAUGAACACACAGACGGAAACCUUCAAUUGGUGAAACUCUCGUUGGUAAUUUCUAUUCCGUCGGAAUCACCAACAGAAUAUUCCAUCAGGAUAAUCUGAGUAA
rnacentral:sRNA from 1 species